rfam:Serratia sp. DD3 SRDD_contig000110, whole genome shotgun sequence.
CCGCCUGUAUCACCAUGUGAACCUAGGAUCCUGAAUAAAGUAGCGAGUCUGACAACGUAACAAAACGCAUUCUGAUGCGUGGGAUACAAAUCGUGAGAGGCGUGUCUUCCUGGCAACCACAGUCGGGUAAGUGC